rnacentral:ncRNA from 1 species
UAACGCACGGUGAUAAGGAGAGUAGAAGUGAAUCCUUUUUAGAGAGUCUCGGUUUGGUGAAAAGAGAUAUUGGUUGCAACUUUGAAGAUGGCCUUUGAGUGUUAAUUGUCGAAUCAUUAGACGGUUACGGGAAAGCCCGAUACAGCUUCUCGUUAAACAGGAGACCUGUUUAACAGAUGGAGAUAGGAUUUGUGAGAAUGCUAUGAACAAAGGUGGUAACACGGGAAUUUGACUCGUCCUUUUG